GAUGAACGCUAGCGGCAGGCUUAACACAUGCAAGUCGAGGGGCAGCGAGUAGAUUGCUUGCAAUCUAUGUCGGCGACCGGCGCACGGGUGCGUAACGCGUAUGCAACCUACCCAUUACAGGGGGAUAACACUGAGAAAUCGGUACUAAUACCCCAUAACAUCCAGGGAGGCAUCUUCUUGGGUUGAAAACUCCGGUGGUAAUGGAUGGGCAUGCGUUGUAUUAGUUAGUUGGUGGGGUAACGGCUCACCAAGACAACGAUACAUAGGGGGACUGAGAGGUUAACCCCCCACAUUGGUACUGAGACACGGACCAAACUCCUACGGGAGGCAGCAGUGAGGAAUAUUGGUCAAUGGACGCAAGUCUGAACCAGCCAUGCCGCGUGCAGGAAGACGGCUCUAUGAGUUGUAAACUGCUUUUGUACGAGGGUAAACGCAGAUACGUGUAUCUGUCUGAAAGUAUCGUACGAAUAAGGAUCGGCUAACUCCGUGCCAGCAGCCGCGGUAAUACGGAGGAUUCAAGCGUUAUCCGGAUUUAUUGGGUUUAAAGGGUGCGUAGGCGGUCGGAUAAGUUAGAGGUGAAAUCCCGAGGCUCAACUUCGGAAUUGCCUCUGAUACUGUUCGGCUAGAGAGUAGUUGCGGUAGGCGGAAUGUAUGGUGUAGCGGUGAAAUGCUUAGAGAUCAUACAGAACACCGAUUGCGAAGGCAGCUUACCAAGCUACUUCUGACGUUGAGGCACGAAAGCGUGGGGAGCAAACAGGAUUAGAUACCCUGGUAGUCCACGCAGUAAACGAUGAUAACUCGUUGUCGGCGAUACAAUGUCGGUGACUAAGCGAAAGCGAUAAGUUAUCCACCUGGGGAGUACGUUCGCAAGAAUGAAACUCAAAGGAAUUGACGGGGGCCCGCACAAGCGGAGGAACAUGUGGUUUAAUUCGAUGAUACGCGAGGAACCUUACCCGGGCUUGAAAGUUAGUGACAGAUCUGGAAACAGGUCUUCCCUUCGGGGCACGAAACUAGGUGCUGCAUGGUUGUCGUCAGCUCGUGCCGUGAGGUGUCGGGUUAAGUCCCAUAACGAGCGCAACCCCUACCGUCAGUUGCCAGCAGGUCAAGCUGGGCACUCUGGCGGGACUGCCGGUGUAAGCCGAGAGGAAGGUGGGGAUGACGUCAAAUCAGCACGGCCCUUACGUCCGGGGCUACACACGUGUUACAAUGGCAGGUACAGAGGGCAGCUACCCAGCGAUGGGAUGCGAAUCUCGAAAGCCUGUCUCAGUUCGGAUUGGAGGCUGAAACCCGCCUCCAUGAAGUUGGAUUCGCUAGUAAUCGCGCAUCAGCCAUGGCGCGGUGAA
rnacentral:rRNA from 1 species